GGAAGUAUAGCUCAGUGGUAGAGCAUUCGACUGCAGAUCGAGUGAUCCCCGAUUCAAACCCGGGAGGCUUCUUCUG
rnacentral:tRNA from 1 species